rnacentral:rRNA from 1 species
GCGGCGUGCUUAACACAUGCAAGUCGAACGGAAAGGCCCUGCUUUUGUGGGGUGCUCGAGUGGCGAACGGGUGAGUAACACGUGAGUAACCUGCCCUUGACUUUGGGAUAACUUCAGGAAACUGGGGCUAAUACCGGAUAGGAGCUCCUGCUGCAUGGUGGGGGUUGGAAAGUUUCGGCGGUUGGGGAUGGACUCGCGGCUUAUCAGCUUGUUGGUGGGGUAGUGGCUUACCAAGGCUUUGACGGGUAGCCGGCCUGAGAGGGUGACCGGCCACAUUGGGACUGAGAUACGGCCCAGACUCCUACGGGAGGCAGCAGUGGGGAAUAUUGCACAAUGGGCGGAAGCCUGAUGCAGCAACGCCGCGUGCGGGAUGACGGCCUUCGGGUUGUAAACCGCUUUCGCCUGUGACGAAGCGUGAGUGACGGUAAUGGGUAAAGAAGCACCGGCUAACUACGUGCCAGCAGCCGCGGUGAUACGUAGGGUGCGAGCGUUGUCCGGAUUUAUUGGGCGUAAAGGGCUCGUAGGUGGUUGAUCACGUCGGAAGUGUAAUCUUGGGGCUUAACCCUGAGCGUGCUUUCGAUACGGGUUGACUUGAGGAAGGUAGGGGAGAAUGGAAUUCCUGGUGGAGCGGUGGAAUGCGCAGAUAUCAGGAGGAACACCAGUGGCGAAGGCGGUUCUCUGGGCCUUUCCUGACGCUGAGGAGCGAAAGCGUGGGGAGCGAACAGGCUUAGAUACCCUGGUAGUCCACGCUGUAAACGGUGGGUACUAGGUGUGGGGUCCAUUCCACGGGUUCCGUGCCGUAGCUAACGCUUUAAGUACCCCGCCUGGGGAGUACGGCCGCAAGGCUAAAACUCAAAGGAAUUGACGGGGCCCCGCACAAGCGGCGGAGCAUGCGGAUUAAUUCGAUGCAACGCGUAGAACCUUACCUGGGUUUGACAUGGAUCGGGAGUGCUCAGAGAUGGGUGUGCCUCUUUUGGGGUCGGUUCACAGGUGGUGCAUGGCUGUCGUCAGCUCGUGUCGUGAGAUGUUGGGUUAAGUCCCGCAACGAGCGCAACCCUUGUUCACUGUUGCCAGCACGUUAUGGUGGGGACUCAGUGGAGACCGCCGGGGUCAACUCGGAGGAAGGUGGGGAUGACGUCAAGUCAUCAUGCCCCUUAUGUCCAGGGCUUCACGCAUGCUACAAUGGCUGGUACAGAGAGUGGCGAGCCUGUGAGGGUGAGCGAAUCUCGGAAAGCCGGUCUCAGUUCGGAUUGGGGUCUGCAACUCGACCUCAUGAAGUCGGAGUCGCUAGUAAUCGCAGAUCAGCAACGCUGCGGUGAAUACGUUCCCGGGGCUUGUACACACCGCCCGUCAAGUCAUGAAAGUUGGUAACACCCGAAGCCGGUGGCCUAACCGUUGUGGGGGAGCCGUCGAAGGUGGGACUGGUGAUUAGG